UUCUCACCGAGUCGUUCUCAGACAUGUUCAUUUCGUUCUCAUCCUCUCUCUAGGGCUCCUUUCUCUCCCCAUGCGUUCAGCUGCAACGCUCGCAUCCCCCUCGCCGGCGGCGUGCACUCCCGGAUGCUGCCCCCCCCCCCCCACGACGGUAUAGGGAUCGGCGGCGCAAAUUAGGCCCAGGUGAGAGAUUCCCGCUUCUCGCACCUUGGAACAUCCAUGUUUCCGCAUCGACUUUGACUGCAUUUUCGUGUUGGGUGGAGAUCAUCAGUUCGCAUGUGGGAUCCGAAGAGGGCAUCUGCUGUGGUUGAUUUAGACAGGUCUUGGCGUUCAGAGUGCGCCCGACGGCGGCGCCAGUGCAGAAAGAACCCGUGCUGGGGUUCAGCUUCGCCGGGUGGCUGCAGCGCGGGGUUUCACUGAUCAAGGCGGAUAGCACAGGCUCGUCUUCUGGCUCUGACAAAGAUAUGAGCUGAGUUGGAGAAGAAAUUAAAGAGGGCACGAGUUUGUGCAAUCAGCUGCUGUCUAGUGAUUGCAGAUUUAGAAACUGACAUAUCUGACAUCUCUUGAUUAUUAAUCUGCUCUUUGAUCAACUAAAAAUAGAGUAAUGUGAUGCUCUAAUUUUGUGCAUACGUGCACAAAUAUUCUAAUAGAGGUGCUUCUAUUGUUUCAUCUACAGGGAAGGAGGCUGCCCAAAUGAUUUGUGAAUAUCUAAAGGACGAACCAUGGUUUACAUUACUCUGCCAGAGGAUGCAGUAAGACUUGAUUCACUCUUAGAUUUUUAAAAAACAACAUUUCUUUGCUUGUCCAUACUCAAGCUCCUGAAAAAACUAAUUUUGCUACAGACAAAAUAUGAAUGAGCUCAUACAAUGGUGUAACAGUCAAAACCAGUGAUGCUUAACUUUACACUUUUCACCUAUCUGCUCUAGGGCAACAGCAAUAACAACAGCUCAAUUCCUCUUGUUUGAUUGAGUAGCAGCAGCCGCGGGAGUUGUUUUGUCUCUGCAACAACAACAAUGGCUAUCAUCAUCAACUUGGGUAGUAAAAUGCUACUUCAACGUGGAUAAGAGGAGCAAUUAAACAAUGAUGAGAUGAUAACCACUUUACGUGGUCUGUGAAGCAAAAUGCCACUUUUUGUAGGGAUUUCAUCUCGAUUUGCCCUGUUUCGACGAAGCAACAAUGUUGUUUUGAAUCAUGUUCAUUAUUUUCUUGUACACUUAUUGUAAAUUGCUUAUGACUUAUUAUAAUAUGCUUUCAACCUUUAACAAAAAUGCUUCUCAGCGUAAAGAGAGCGAAACAUAUUGAAGUGAGAUCUUAUUUUAAA